UUAGCUUAAACAGGCAGAUCAAUAUUGAACACUGCAGGAACUUCCAUGACUCCUUGUGAGACAUCAGUUUUGUCAUAUUUUCCAGCAUUCAUUGCUUCAUCCAGGGAUGUGUACACCUUCAUGACUACUUACUGAUAUAGUUUAGGACAUCAUGUUCAUUGACCAAGAAUAAUUUAUACUUCUCAACAUAGAGGAACCAUUACCAUACUUCAAGACCGACCAAGACCUAACUCCAGAAAAAUGGAUACCAAAGAGCACUCUGCAUCAGAUGCAAUGUUACAGACAACGGUGGAUGG